rnacentral:rRNA from 1 species
UCUGGAAACUNUCUGACUUGAGUGCAGAAGGGGAGAGUGGAAUUCCAUGUGUGGCGGUGAAAUGCGUAGAUAUAUGGAGGAACACCAGUGGCGAAAGCGGCUCUCUGGUCUGUCACUGACGCUGAGGCUCGAAAGCGUGGGUAGCGAACAGGAUUAGAUACCCUGGUAGUNCACGCCGUAAACGAUGAGUGCUAGGUGUUAGGCCCNUUCCGGGGCUUAGUGCCGGAGCUAACGCAAUAAGCACUCCGCCUGGGGAGUACGACCGCAAGGUUGAAACUCAAAGGAACUGACGGGGGCCCGCACAAGCGGUGGAGCAUGUGGUUUAAUUCGAAGCAACGCGAAGAACCUUACCAGGUCUUGACAUCCCGAUGCUAUUCUUAGAGAUAGGAAGUUACUUCGGUACAUCGGAGACAGGUGGUGCAUGGUUGUCGUCAGCUCGUGUCGUGAGAUGUUGGGUUAAGUCCCGCAACGAGCGCAACCCUUAUUGUUAGUUGCCAUCAUUAAGUUGGGCACUCUAGCGAGACUGCCGGUAAUAAACCGGAGGAAGGUGGGGAUGACAUCAAAUCAUCAUGCCCCUUAUGACCUGGGCUACACACGUGCUACAAUGGUCGGUACAACGAGUUGCGAGCCGGUGACGGCAAGCUAAUCUCUGAAAGCCGAUCUCAGUUCGGAUUGGGGGCUGCAACUCGCCUCCAUGAAGUCGGAAUCGCUAGUAAUCGCGGAUCAGCACGCCGCGGUGAAUACGUUCCCGGGCCUUGUACACACCGCCCGUCACACCACGAGAGUUUGUAACACCCGAAGUCGGUGAGGUANCCUUUUAGGG